rnacentral:lncRNA from 1 species
AAGAACAUCAAGAAGAAAUGCUAGAAACUAGGCCAACAAAGUGAAAGACCCAAUAACGAAGUCUGGGAACAAGGCCGAAGAGAAGUGGUCCAAGGGCAAUGGAUGUUUAGGACAAGCUCAACAACCAAGUCCUGUUUCAUAAAGCAAUAUAUGACAAACCCUGUGGUAAGCUCUCAGAUGCCUCCAUUCACUGGGCCCUCUGAAAAUGUGCUGCUCCCUGGCCAGGCCAGCCCUUCAGGAGCUCUUCAGUAGAGGAUUCACUAAACUGGUUUCUGAGCACAGAGUUCAAGUAAUUUACACCAGAAAUACAUGAGUGGAGACAUCCCAGCUGCUGGCAAAGAUGCA